rnacentral:ncRNA from 1 species
UAAAAAGCAAUGAAUGUGUCAGUAGCAUCUGAACGACAUACAGAGAGAGGAAGUCAUCGGCUGUAAGCUUCCUUAUGAUACGCCAGUAUGUGAAUUUUCCCACAGGAGCUGCGCAGGUGAACACAAGGAUUUUUAGCCUGCGACGGUCACUGCACGUUAAGCAGAAUGAGAGCCCAUAUAGAUACAGGAUAUGGGAAUCUGGGUGGUAACGCGGAAUUUUUCGUCCCUGAU